GUUACCUAAGAAAAUAUAAUAAAAAUUGUUGUAGUAGUAUACAUUCUAGGCAUUAUGAAAUAUCAAGGUAUAUAUUUUUUUUUAUGGCAUUUCAUCAAACAUAAUGUGCACUUGGGAUUUGGGAAAGGAAUGACACAAACUAUAUAUAUAUAUAUAUAUAUAGAGGGAGCGGAUUCCGUCCGGACUCUCGCAUUUUAGUUGUUUUUAAAAAAAAAUGACAAAAAAAAAAUCCACAUUUUAGUAGCGUGCGGGAGUACUCCGGACUGGAUCCGUUCCGUAUAUAUAUGUCACUGCCAUUUCUUUAACUCAUAAGCGCCAGGUUGGAUCCAACAUCUACAUAUAUAUUUGGAACGGUGGGAGUAAUUAAUAGGCUGGAAUCAGAAUAUAAAGGGGAACAGAGUUCUGCACCUGCUUAGAGGUACCAAGUCUCAUCCUUGUUUCCAGCCUUGCUUCUUCAGUAGUUGCAUAUACGAAUGAAUGCACUAUUAAAACUCAUACUUAUUGCAAAACAAAACAGAAUGAGCAAAAGACAACCAUAUAUAUAUAUAUAUAUAUAUAUAUAUAUAUAUAUAUAUAUACACACAAUUAUAUCAAGAGAGAAUAAGAGAAAACAUUACCUGAAACCAAAAUCGAAAUUUGUUGAGGCGAUGGAUGUUGCUGCAGAAGAGAGGAAGGGAAGAGAAGAGGUAGCUUGGAAGAUCUAAUGGAAAGGGGUGAGGAUUUUUGUUUGCACUGUUGAUUUGAAUGAUUGGAUUAGGGAAUCCAGACUGGAUGAAUCAUGGAAGCACUCUUAAUCUUACAAAAAAAAUUCUUGUCGCGAAUACCGUAACACCUGUUGCCACCAUUAUCGCCCAUGCAUCAACCACAUAAUCCAUAACACCCUAGUCCAUAUAGAAAGAAAUGAAAUUUUUUUGUGUAUAAAAAUUUAAGUUACGAAUCUUUUAAUUAUGAUUUUUGGGUGAGCUUGUGGUAGGAUAAGAUGAUCAAAUAAUAUAUUAUUGU
rnacentral:lncRNA from 1 species